rnacentral:lncRNA from 1 species
UAUCGAUCCCUAACCACGCCAUUGCCCGAGGUCACGUCGCGAGUCCAGCAGUGUUUGUGGGUCCUCUCGGAUUGUGUCAGUGCAAGCGGGCGUGCGCGGGGAUCGCCGGAGCGUUAGGAAUUUCUCACCGAAGCUCCGUCACCACCACCGUACCGCCCUUCGUCGAUAUCAGGUCUCUGCGCUCUCUGAUUCUUCGGUAAGAACUCCCCAUUGAGUUCGCAUCCGUCUUACCUACGCGUAGCCUCCUUGGGGUCGGCUUUGGACAGCUAUUGGCGGCAAGUGUGGGGGGGCUGGCCAUGUGCGCCGCCGGGUGCUGGUGCGCCGUCGGCCGGAAUUUGGGGAGAAGGAAGAAGGGCCUCUGGUCGUUGAUCUGAUGGUGGGCGGCCUGGAUUAGAAGGUAGCUUACCCCUUCGGUUAAAGAGAACCCGGACCGUAGAUCUGCAAUCCUAUGGAUACGAUUCGAUCUCGGUUAUUUUGGAUCCGAGCCGUAGAUAUAGGAUCCAGCGGCUAUUGUUGAAUACCGGUUCAGAUUUAUAACCCUCUAAUCUGGGCCGUGUGGUUUAGAUCUGACGGUCACAAUUCAACAAUACCCCUUCGCGAGCACAUUUGUCAUAUGAGCCCUUGGGAAACAGGGAAAAUAACCCGCGGUCCAAUCUAGAGCUGUCUGAGUCUUAGGAAUUCUUCUGUAUUAACCCCUGACCUUUUAUGACAUUGAGGCCCAAUCCAUAGUAUUGUAAAAUCAGAGAAAUUAAUUUAUAAAUGGAUUUUUAAUAGAUAAAUAAAUGCUAGAACUUGUUUAAAUCAUAGAAAAUCCAUUUUUAGUCUAAAUUACUCCAUUCCAGUUUCUAAAUUUUUGUAAUAUUAUUAUCUAUCACUUAGAGCCUAUGUGUUGGCAUGAAAACAGUAAGAAAAUUUAUUUCCACUUAAUCCUAUUUUAAACACAUAAAAUCUUUGGAAAUUCAUAACUUAAAAUCUAUAACUCCAAAAAUUAUGAUUCCUGUUCCUAGAAUUUUAUUUUAAUGUGUAGAUUAUUAUCAUGUACUUUGUUUACAUGUUUGGUGUGAUGUUAAUUUUCUUUAUACAUUGUGCUUGUUUGUAUUGUGGCGAGUAGAAGAGCCUAUGACUGUGGAUCCUAGUGACCAGAAGAUAGAAGUAGCUGAGCAGGAGCUCAUUGAAGGCAAGUUGUGCCCUUGAUCCACUUUUGUUACCCAAUAAUAUUCUUUAUUAUCACUAUUCAAUGUAUAGGUUUAAUUUUGAUGGGACCCAAUAGGUCAUCCUAGUCUGUUUAUCCAUGUUACCUUGUUUACCCCUGAAUCACUUGGGUAGUUUUGUUAUUGCUUUACAUGGUUUUGGGAUAAUAUUUUGUUAUAUCCAUGUUCCAAUUAUUUUGUUAUUCUAUUUAUGGUCAUGUCAAGAUCAUUAAAUGUUAAUUGGAACAUGGAGCUUAACUUGAGAAACACGUGCCACCACAAGGGUUUAAUGGGACGCCCUUGGCCAACUAACUAGGAAAGCUAGUGGAAGCCUACCUUACCCGAAAGGGGCAAGGGCAGUAGAGGAUUGCAUGCAAGGAGGUUCUUGGGUUGAUUUUGCUGCGAUGGCGGUCAGACGGGGAUUCUUGCAAGUGCUCUUCCCAUAAACUGUAGCGGGUUUUCGGAAGCUAGUGGAGCUUUGUAAAGGCCUCGUAGUGGAUCCUUAGCCAUUCACCUUGGUAGUGUCUAAGGGUCUAGCUAACCCUGGCGACAUGGGAUACACGACUUGUGGGUAAAGGGUACAACCUCUGCAGAGUGUAAAACUAGUAUACUAGUCGUGCUCGCGGUCAUGAGCAGCUCAGGACUCUCUGAUGAUUAAUUUAUGGAACUUAAAUUCAAUUUGUCAUUUGCAUUGCAUGAGAUUAUUAUUAAUUUUUUUCUAUUAUUUUUAUUACGGUUUGGUAUUUACUUACAUCUAGUAAUUGCUAAUAAAAUUUUGACCAACUUAAUAAAAGCAAUGCUCAACUUUAACCUCUAUUGUUGAUCAGCCUUACACUUCAUGAACUUCCACCUUUGGUGAGUUCAUGCCACAUUAUUCCCCACAACUUGUUGAGCGAUGAACAUGUGUGAGCUCACCAUUGCUGUCUCACACCCCCCACAGGAGAAGAACAAGUGGUUCAAGUGGAGCCAAGUAUCGAGGAGUUCGAUUCGAUCUAGGUGGCGUUUCCCUAGUUGACUUUGCGCCAUGGAUGAUCCUUAGUUCGUGUUAUAUUUAUCUUUUAUUUUGUAAGACUUCCG